CAGCUAGAUGAAGAUGAUCUUGUUUCUUACAUUCUUACUGGUUUAGAUGUUGAAUAUAAUCCACUUAUUGAGGCAGUGAGUGCAAGAAUUGACCCUAUCAGUUUAAGUGAUCUUUAUGCUCAACUCUUAUCCACU